rnacentral:rRNA from 1 species
AUUGAACGCUGGCGGCAGGCCUAACACAUGCAAGUCGAACGGCAGCACGGUAACUGCUUCCUGUUACGGGGGGGGAGUGGCGUGCGUAAUAGAUAGAAACCGGUCCUUACGUGUGGGAGGGGCCGAACAUAGGGGGACUUACACCAAUACCGCUCACGGGCUAAGGGUGGGAGCACGUGAUCUCCCGCCCUUGCGCGAUUGAAUGUGGCGAUGUCGGAUUAGCUAGUUGGAGGGGUAAAGGCCCACCAAGGCGACGAUCCGUAGCUGGUCUGAGAGGAUGAUCAGCCACACUGGAACUGAGACACGGUCCAGACUCCUACGGGAGGCAGCAGUGGGGAAUAUUGGACAAUGGGCGAAAGCCUGAUCCAGCCAUGCCGCGUGUGUGAAGAAGGCCUUCGGGUUGUAAAGCACUUUUGUUGGGAAAGAAAUGCAUCACGUUAAUACCGUGCUGUUAUGACGGUACCGGAAGAAUAAGCACCGGCUAACUUCGUG